ensembl:misc_RNA Y_RNA Y RNA
GGCUGGUCCGAGUGCAGUGGUGUUUACAACUAAUUGAUCACAACCAGUUACAGAUUUCUUUGUUCCUUCUCCACUCCCACUGCUUCACUUGACUACCCUUAA